CCGUCACUGUCCUUGCUGACUCGCCUCUUUGAUCUGUGGUCUCUGGUCUUUGUCGUCCCUCCUUCAUCCCUCGUCGUCUCUCUGGUGACUGGUUUAAAUCUUGAUUUGCAAACUUUUAAUGAUGAUGAAGAUGUUGAAAGUGAUCAAGAAUAAGUGUUAAAGAUUCCUUUAUAUCUAAUAUUGUAAUUUUUUUUAUUAUGGUGUUAAAUUUGUAGUGAUCUAACACUAUCGUUCUUUUUAUUUCAAGUUAUUUGAGCUAAUGACAUUGUAUAAAUUUUAUGUUUUUAUUUUAAUUUAUCUAUGAAUUUU